rnacentral:misc_RNA from 1 species
AACGCACCUUGCGCCCUUUGGCCAUUCCGAAGGGCAUGCCUGUUUGAGUAUCAUGAACACCUCAACUCUUCAUGGUUUUCCAUGAUGAGCUUGGACUUUGGGGGGUUUUGCUGGCCUGUGGUCAGCUCCUCUAAAAUGAAUCAGCUUGCCAGUGUUUGGUGGGCAUCACAGGUGUGAUAACUAUCUACGCUUGUGGUUUUCCACCAGGUAACCUUCAGCAGUGGAGGUUCACUGGAGCUCACAGAUGUCUCUCCUCAGUGAGGACAACCCUUUGAAUGUUUGAUCUCAAAUCAGGUAGGACUACCCGCUGAACUUAA